rnacentral:rRNA from 1 species
GACGAACGCUGGCGGCGUGCUUAACACAUGCAAGUCGAACGGCAAGGCACUGCUUUCGUGGGGUGCUCGAGUGGCGAACGGGUGCGUAUCACGUGAGUAUCCUGCCCUUGUUUUUGGGAUAACUUCAGGUAACUGGGGUUACUACCGUAUCGGAGACCAUGUUGCAUGGUGAGGGUUGGAAAGUUUCGGCGGUUGGGGAUGGACUCGCGGAUUAUCAGCUUGUUGGUGGGGUAGUUGCUUACCAAGGCUUUGGCGGGUACCCGGCUUGGGAGGGUGACCGGCCACAAUGGGACUAAGGUACGGCGCAGAGGCGUACGGUAGGCAACAGUGGGGAAUAUUGCACAAUGGUCGCGAGUGUGAUACAACGGCGCCGCGGUUGUGAAGACGUCUUGCGGGGUAAGAACCGCUUCCGGCUAUGACGAAGCUUGUGUGACGGUAACGAGUGAAUAAGCACCGGCUAACUUCGUG